rnacentral:lncRNA from 1 species
UGCAAGUCCUAUUGGACGCAAGGCUGUGUCUUUGAGAGUUUGGGUCCGCCUGGCCAGAUGCCCAUGUGUAUAUGUCUCUGGCAUGUGUCCACUAUUAAUGCCAUAAUCCCCGUAAGUCACACGCACUGCCCGCUGCCCCCGUCAGAGCAGCGCAGGUCAGUUUCCCCCCAACAGGGGCGAAGUGAGGACGUGGUUCUGGACUCCCUGAGUCUGACCUUUAUUCUCUUUGUAUGCGGGGGAACAUCGGUCAUCAGUGAGGGGAGGCACUGCUCGGGCAGACAGUCGACAUGAGACAGAGAGACAAUAAUGGUUCAAAGGGCAGAGGCUGGCAUUUGAUCCAUUGUCUGAGGUGGUCUUCAGAGGCCACCACCCACCAAGCAUCGUCUUACCACGGCUAAAAGAGCCGGCGCUCUGAUGCCCUCUGAGAUUACGCUCAGGUGAAGCACACCGGCAGCCAUUGUCACUGUGUGUGUGUGUGUGUGUGUGUGAUAUACAGUAAACGCCUUCAUUAAAAACCCCUUUAAUGUGGGGUUUAACAUCCAGUUGCAUUACCACUUUUAGCUCCUUUGUGAAACUUAACGCCAGCUAUGCAUCUCCCUGUGUUGUGUCAUUUGCAGAACGAAGCAUUAACGGAUGAAUUAAGCAUGUUUUGUUCAUGAAUCCAUUUGACGCUGCGUUUUGACGGUUUCCAUCGAUGCUGCGAGCGUGCGAAUCCUCUAUGACGUGCAGGGCCAGGCUAAUUACACAUGACUGCACCUUUCUGUACCUGUCAGCCACAGGUCACUGGGAUCAGUAGCAUUUAAUCCACCUCCCCCUCAGUAAGAUUAGGAUGAUCACCCAUCAUACAAUAGGAUUAUAAAAUGAUGAUGGUGGUAAUGAUGUCAGCGGCGUUGAUUGACCCUGUUUGGUUCUAAUUCUCUGUGUUUUCGAAUGGCUUCAUUUAAGAUCUGAAAUGAGUCUGGGUGAGUUAAAAGGUUGUGAGUCUGAGAAUCUGAAGGGAAAGGAAUAUUUUUUUGAAGAAAACGACAGUGAAGAAAUAGAAAUCUGAAAGUUGUGAAGGGGCAGGGUGGAUUAUAGGUUUUACCGUUUGUAAGCCUGACAAGAUGUUCUCAGCAUGUAAUGACUGGCUGAUGUUCCAGAUCUUGGGCCAGCGAGGAGAAGGCUGUAAUUUAUCAGAUGCCACAAAGUCUCCAUUGUGACAUUAAACAGAAUCACUUUUUGAUUUAAUGGCGGACGGAAGUUGUGUGUGUUUGUGUGUGUGUGGUGGGGGGGGGUACAUAUAUGACAUAUA